GUAGCCCAGCAAGAUUAUCUGGGGGAGGGGAGUCAGCUGGAGAAGGAGAAUGAGUGACUGGGAUCAAGAAGGAGAACAGAAGGCCUCAAAGUACCAAGAUUCAAAGAAGAAUAUGAUGUGGCAUGAAAUAGUCUUAUACCUGAACUGAAUUUUGAAGAAAAGAUGCUCCCAGGAGGAAUUGGGUAUAUAGUGUGGUUAUGGAUGAUCGCUUGCCCAAUAUCAUGGAGAUGGGAGAUAAAAUGUCAUAUACAUACACGGAAUAAAGAAAAGUAGGCCAAUAUGGUGAGAAUGUAU
rnacentral:lncRNA from 1 species